rnacentral:rRNA from 1 species
AUACGUAGGUGACAAGCGUUAUCCGGAUUUACUGGGCGUAAAGGGCGUGUAGGCGGUCUUGCAAGUCAGAAGUGAAAUUCCUGAGCUCAACUCGGGCGCUGCUUCUGAAACUGCAGGACUUGAGUGCUGGAGGGGAUAGCGGAAUUCCUAGUGGAGCGGUAAAAUGCGCAUAUAUUAGGAAGAACACCGGUGGCGAAGGCGACUUUCUGGGCAGUAACGGACGCUGAGGCAGCAAAGAGUGGAGACCAGACAGUAUGUGAUACCCUGGUCGUCCACGCCGUAAACGAGGAAUACUAGGUGUACGGGGUAUCGACUCCCUCUGUGCCGCAGUUAACACAAUAAGUAUUCCGCCUGGGGAGUACGGCCGCAAUGUUGACACUCAAAUGAAUGGACGGGG